AGUGGAUGGGGAGCAACCUAGUUGUGCGUGUGUAAAGGUAGUGCCAAGAAAAGCGAUGAUCAUGUUGAAAAUCAAUUCCCGGUACCCGAAACCGACACAGGUGGGCAAGUAGAGAAUACUAAGGGGCGCGAGGUAACUCUCUCCAAGGAACUCGGCAAAAUGACCCCGUAACUUAGGGAGAAGGGGUGCCACCGAGAGGUGGUCGCAGUGAAGAGGCCCAGGCGACUGUUUAGCAAGAACAUAGGUCUCUGCAAACUCGAAAGAGGAGGUAUAGGGGCUGACGCCUGCCCAGUGCCGGAAGGUUAAAGAAGUUGGUCAGUUUUAGGAUGAAGCUAGCGACUGAAGCCCCGGUGAACGGCGGCCGUAACUAUAACGGUCCUAAGGUAGCGAAGAUCCUUGUCGGGUAAGUUCCGACCCGCACGAAGGGCGUAACGAUCUGGGCGCUGUCUCGGAGAGAGGCUCGGCGAAAUAGGAUUGUCUGUGAAGAUACGGACUACCUGCAUUUGGACAGAAAGACCCUAUGAAGCUUUACUAUAGCUUGGAAUUGUGUUCGGGCUUCCUGUGCGCAGGAUAGGUGGGAGGCGUAGAAGGUAUUCUUGUGGGGAUACUGGAGCCAACGGUGAGAUACCACUCUCAGGAGGCUAGAAUUCUAACUUAAUUAAGGGCAGUUUCAGGUGGGUAGUUUGACUGGGGCGGUCGCCUCCAAAAAGGUAACGGAGGCGUACAAAGGUUCCCUCAGACUGGUUGGAAAUCAGUCGAAGAGUGCAAAGGCAGAAGGGAGCUUGACUGCGAGAAGUACAGUUCGAGCAGGGUGGAAACACGGUCUUAGUGAUCCGACGGUGCUGUGUGGAAGGGCCGUCGCUCAACGGAUAAAAGUUACUCUAGGAUGACAGGCUGAUCUCCCCCAAGAGUUCACAUCGACGGGGAGGUUUGGCACCUCGAUGUCGGCUCAUCGCAACCUGGGGCGGAAGUACGUCCCAAGGGUUGGGCUGUUCGCCCAUUAAAGCGGUACGUGAGCUGGGUUCAGAACGUCGUGAGACAGUUCGGUCCAUAUCCGAUGUAGGCGUGAGAAUAUUGAGAGGAGCCUUCCUUAGUACGAGAGGACCGGGAAGGACGCACCGCUGGUGUACCUGUUAUGAUGCCAAUUGUAAACGCAGGGUAGCCAAGUGCGGAGAGGAUAACCGCUGAAAGCAUCUAAGUGGGAAGCCCACCUCAAGAUGAGUAUUCUGGUGUAAGGUCACGGGAAGGCGACCCGUAAAUAGGCACGAGGUGGAAGUGCAGAGAUGUAUGAAGCCGAAGUGUACUAAUAGACCGUCGGCUUGAC
rnacentral:rRNA from 1 species